rnacentral:rRNA from 1 species
AUAAGUAACGAUAAGGCAGGCGAGAAACCUGCCCGCCGAAAGAUCAAGGUUUCCUCAGCUAUGCUAAUCAGCUGAGGGUUAGUCGGGGACUAACGCGAACCCGAGUAGGGGUAGUGGAUGUACAAUAGGUUAAUAUUCCUAUACCAUUAGUCUAUUAAAAGUGACGGAAUGAGAUAACUACCGCGUACUGACGGAAUAGUACGUUUAAGGAGUUGUUAUGACUUCGAAAGUACGCUGAGGCUUCGGCCGAGGUGAGUGUGGUGACAACGUUUCCAAGAAAAGCGAAGGCUAAUGCCCGUACCGUAAACCGACACAGGUGAUUGGGAUGAGAAUUCUAAGGCGCUCGAGAGAUUCAUGGCUAAGGAACUAGGCAAAAUAGACCUGUAACUUAGGGAGAAAGGUCGCCUAUCAUUAGAUAGGCCGCAGUGAAAAGGUCCAAGCGACUGUUUAUCAAAAACACAGGACUCUGCAAAAUCGAAAGAUGAAGUAUAGGGUCUGACACCUGCCCGGUGCUGGAAGGUUAAGAGGAGAGCUUAGUGGUAACACGAAGGUUUGAAUUGAAGCCCCAGUAAACGGCGAAUUGAAGCCCCAGUAAACGGCGGCCGUAACUAUAACGGUCCUAAGGUAGCGAAAUUCCUUGUCGGGUAAGUUCCGACCUGCACGAAUGGUGUAACGAUUUGGACACUGUCUCGGCCAUGAGCUCGGUGAAAUUGUAGUAUCGGUGAAGAUGCCGAUUACCCGCAGUGGGACGAAAAGACCCUGUGCACCUUUACUAUAUCUUCGUAUUGGUCUUGGAUAAGUGAUGCGUAGGAUAGGUGGGAGACUAAGAAGCGGCUAUUCCGGUAGUUGUGGAGUCAUUGUUGAAAUACCACCCUUUGCUUAUCUGAGGUCUAACCCUGCAAAGAGUAGGGGACAAUUCGUGGAGGGUAGUUUGACUGGGGUGGUCGCCUCCAAAAGCGUAACGGAGGCUUCUAAAGGUUCCCUCAGCACGCUUGGUAACCGUGCGUAGAGUGCAAUGGCAUAAGGGAGCUUGACUGAGAGACCUACAAGUCGAUCAGGUACGAAAGUAGAGCAUAGUGAUCCGGUGGUUCCGUAUGGAAGGGCCAUCGCUCAAAGGAUAAAAGGUACGCCGGGGAUAACAGGCUGAUCUCCCCCAAGAGCUCACAUCGACGGGGGGGUUUGGCACCUCGAUGUCGGCUCGUCACAUCCUGGGGCUGGAGAAGGUCCCAAGGGUUGGGCUGUUCGCCCAUUAAAGUGGCACGCGAGCUGGGUUCA